UACGUAGGGGGCAAGCGUUGUCCGGAUUUAUUGGGCGUAAAGAGCGUGUAGGCGGCCAAGCAGGUCCGCUGUGAAAACUCGAGGCUCAACCUCGAGACGUCGGUGGAAACCGUUCGGCUAGAGUCCGGAAGAGGAGAGUGGAAUUCCCGGUGUAGCGGUGAAAUGCGCAGAUAUCAGGAGGAACACCGAUGGCGAAGGCAGCUCGCUGGGACGGUACUGACGCUGAGACGCGAAAGCGUGGGGAGCAAACAGG
rnacentral:rRNA from 1 species